rnacentral:rRNA from 1 species
CUUUACUGCAACUUGACGUUGGAACUUGGCUGUACUUGUGUAGAAUAGAUGGGAGACUUUGAAGCAGGGCCGCCAGGUCUUGCGGAGUCGUCGUUGAAAUACCACCCUGGUGCUGACGAGUUUCUAACCAUGUCCAUAAACCGGACAUGAGACAGCGUCUGGUGGGCAGUUUGACUGGGGCGGUCGCCUCCUAAAAGGUAACGGAGGCAUUCAAAGGUCCCCUCAGCGUGGUCGGUAAUCACGCGCAGAGUGCAAACGCAUAAGGGGGCUUAACUGCGAGACCGACAGGUCGAGCAGGUACGAAAGUAGGAGUUAGUGAUCCCGAGGUUUAGCGUGGAAUUGCCGUUGCUCAAUGGAUAAAAGGUA